UACAGGGGGUGCAAACGUUGCUCGGAAUUAUUGGGCGUAAAGCGCGCGUAGGCGGCUACUUAAGUCGGAUGUGAAAGCCCCUGGCUCAACUGGGGAAGUGCACCCGAAACUGAGUGGCUUGAGUACUAAAGAGGGUCGCGGAAUUCCCGGUGUAGAGGUGAAAUUCGUAGAUAUCGGGAGGAACACCAGUGGCGAAGGCGACUACCUGGCCUGUUCUUGACGCUGAGGCGCGAAAGCUAGGGGAGCAAACGGG
rnacentral:rRNA from 1 species